rnacentral:lncRNA from 1 species
GCGGCGGAACUGAUCAGUACGGAGACGCUGGAUACGGUGGCGAUGAUUAUAAGAAAAAGUCUGAUUAUUCGAGCGCCGGAACCGAUGACUACGGCGGCGGCGGUGGUGGUGAUGAUUACGGUGAUGAUUACAAGAAAAAGUCUGAUUACUCUAACGUCGAUACCGACCAGUAUGGCGGUAGCGGUGGUGGUGGUGGUUACGGUGACGAUGAUUAUAAGAAAAAGUCUGAUUACACUACCACCGAUACCACCGAUAACUACGGAGGUGGAUACGGCGAUGACGAUUACAAGAAAAAGUCUGACUAUUCUAGCGGCGGAGGUUAUGACCAGACCGCCGAGGAUGACUCGGAAAAGUACGAGAAGGAGGAGAAGCAGCACAAACACAAGGAGCACCUCGGCGAGCUUGGCGCGGUCGCCUCCGGCGCCUAUGCUUUGGUAACUCCUUUUUUUUCUUUAAAAAGAUACACUUGUAUAAAUAUAUUUCUCCGUAACAAUAUUGUUAUAGCUUCAAAAAUUUUUAAAAUUAUGUCACAUAUAUUCUAGUUACUCCAGCUCAAAAUUUUGUUAAAUUUAAUUGCUGUAACUGAAGCGAAUUAUUAUUUACGCACGUACAGUAU